rnacentral:rRNA from 1 species
UACAGAGGUCUCAAGCGUUGUUCGGAAUCACUGGGCGUAAAGGGUGCGUAGGCCGCACGGUAAGUCAGAGGUGAGAUCCCGGAGCUCAACUUCGGAAUUGCCUCCGAUACUGCCGUGCUUGAGGACUGGAGAGGAGUCUGGAAUUCACAGUGGAGCAGUGAAAUGCGUAGAUAUUGUGAGGAACACUAGUGGCGAAGGCGAGACUCUGGACAGUUCCUGACGCUGAGGCACGAAGGCCAGGGGAGCAAACGGG